UGCAUUUGAAGAACAACCAUGAAGGCUUCUAAACCCACCACUGCCUUUCGCAUCUGAGCCAUGGAGAGGGGGCCCCUUGAAUGUGUCUUUCUUCUCAGGGUCAACCAGAGGCAAAGAGAUCCAGGGACUGGCAACCGGGUGCCUCGGUCAGAGGAGCCAGGAGGGGAAAGAAAGCAAACAGAAACAAAAGAGAUCACACAUUUGAGUAGGUUGGACUUCCCAAACAUAGCCUGCCUCCAGGGUUACCACCAGCACCCAGCCUUCUAAAAUAUGGCACCACACACACACACACACACACACACACACACACACACACACACCUUUUACUUAGGACCGGAUGCUGCACAGGCUCUGGAAGAAAGAGGAAGGCCAUUCUUUUUAUCUCUAAUUUAUAAUCCAAGGGAACUCAGUGCUUUCUUUCUGACUCAAAUCUUUGUCGUCGAUUAUUAAAGUAGCUAGACUUGGCUGCAACAUUUCUGCAAUGUUCUUGCUCUACAAUUAGGGGAAGGGAGAAAAAAAAAAAACCCUGAAGAAAGUUUAGUGAGUGAUUAUAUGUAAUUAAUUCCUAGUUAAGACGGAGCACUGACCAUUUUCUGGAGCUAAUAAAAGCAGUUGCUCCCCUCCCCCCACAUGAAUGCCACUUCAUCUCCCAAAGCAGAAUGGCGUACCCAUCUCAGAAGGUCUUAAACGGGGGAAAGAGGGUGGGGAGAAGGCUGAGAGCUGUGCAUCCUCUUUGGGGACCAAGAAGGCAGGAGGAAAAAGGAAAACAGCCCAUCCGUUUGGUUUUCGCCUCGGCAAUCUGCACAAGUGUUGAACCCUCCACCUGGAUGAGGGAAAGCGAAGUGGGGGAUGGGGGAGUCCUAAGGAUGGAAUGCAAGAGACUCCUCAGCUUGGCCACCUGCUUUUCCUAAAAGGAACAACAACAACAAAUGGUAGAAAUUUCCAGAAGUCCUUACUCAGGCCACUGCAAAUGCCAAUCUUUAACCUUUCCCCUAAAUCUGCUGGCUUAAGAGAACAGGAAGAAAGGGGAACCCCGUUGGGCUAAUCUGUGGGCCUGCACUAAGAUCCCACCCGGUCCAACUGCAAUGCAGACUUUUUUUUUUAGUUCCCCCUUUAGUAACUGGAAAAGAAUGCUACUUCGAAAGCAAUUAACUUUUUACCAACCCCAGGCACUGUGGUGGCCACGAGGAAAAGCAGCCAGCUUGAGUCAGGGCUGGGAAAUUGGCUGAGGUUCACACUCACAAACAGAUCCUGGCUUCCCAAACCUGUAGGAGCCAUUUUAAUGCGUGCUCUUAGAGGACAAACGCUUUGCCCUCAAGUUUCCUUUCAGCCCAAGAAGUUACGCAAAGGCUGAGAGAGGCAAACCAGGAGGUUGGUGACUAGCCACUGGAUCUGCAGAGGCCUCAAGAAACUCAGUUUGUAAUUUCCACUUACAGCAAGGAGAUAAGAAUAAAGAGAGUAACAGAA